AUCUGCUGCAAAUAUUGUCAAGGUUUAUAUAGAAAAGCGAUAUUUAAAUAUCAUUUAUUAUUAAAUAAGAAUAAUAUACCAGUUAUUCAAGCUUUGAUAACUUCAAUAACAAUGGCUAGUAAAUUUACAUUUAUACUUCUCGGAUUACUUGUUAUCACAAGUUUUUGCGAAUUCAAGACUGAUGCGGGUAAUAUAAGAUGCUAUUGUAGCAGGAGCUGUUCAGAAGGGUCAAUAGAAUCCAACUAUUGGUGUUUUCCCUGCUUCCCACCCAAAGAAUGCUGUUGCAUGAAAACCUUACCGAUAGAAAAAUAAGUUCGAAGCAUGCGGUUAUUAAAACUGGACAUCUGAAGAAAGUAUCCAUUUUUUCCAGAAAGUAUUAAUAAAUUGAAGACAAUAAUACA